rnacentral:rRNA from 1 species
UACGUAGGGGCUAGCGUUGUCCGGAUUUAUUGGGCGUAAAGAGCGUGUAGGCGGCCAGGUAGGUCUGCUGUGAAAACUCGAGGCUCAACCUCGAGACGUCGGCGGAAACCAUCUGGCUAGAGUCCGGAAGAGGAAGAGUGGAAUUCCGUGGUGUAGCGGUGAAAUGCGCAGAUAUCAGGAAGAACACCCGUGGCGAAGGCGGCUCUCGUGGGACGGUACUGACGCUGAGACGCGAAAGCGUGGGGAGCGAACAGG